CAAGUGCGAAAUUUAUUAUAGUUGAUGUCAUGUUGCAGAAACCCACCAAAUUUUUAUUUACAAAUCAAUAGGCUGACAGCUUCCCCUGUGCCAAAGUCUACCUUCAACCGUGCAUGGUUCAGUGAGGUGGGAACAAUGAGAGGACUCCCAUAUAUCCUCUAUACUGGUUCAAAGACGGUAGAAAAGCCAUUGCAAGUCACAAAUCAUUACUCGCAGCGAUAUUGAAAACAAAAGGUGGAAAAACAGACCACCUUAUGUUUAUCUCAGAAAAACAAACAACAUAUAUGAUUCUGGACCACCAUAUGAUAUUCCCACUUGACAAAACACGAAAGUAAGACCUGGCUUUCAUUAUUGCAUUAGAAUAACCGGAAUAAUACAUUAUAAAAACCAAAAAUAUCCUUAAUGAAAGAGACCGGAAUGUGCAGUCAACUUGCGAUGGCAGGCAGUAGCUUGGAGCUCAUUCAUCAGGCAUCAAAAUAAUUUUAGUCUCCCCCAAUCAAUUAGGACUUAAGUUCCUCCUCCAGUGCAGUACGGAACUUCAUGUAGGUAUAUCAUACUGAAACAACAAUUCAACAACAGAACUUCAAUAAUUUAUGCUAGUUUAAACCAUAAUUACCGACAUAAAGAACACGCAACUGCAGGUAACAGGUUGCUGACAUUUGUCUUUCUUUUAAAGAAAACGCGCAUGAUGAAUUCUGUUUAGUUCAAUGGAGUGCAAGAAUCUAGUUGUCAAGAAGCACAAUAAUCUAAUGGAUUGACAACAAACGAUGAGCAUCUUUUGGACGUCAUACAACAAUAAUGUUACUAAACAAAAGUGGAUCACCAAUGGUAGAAAUUCAUGCAUAAGACUAUUAGUUAGUUCUUACUUCUUACAUCAAACGCAAAUCGUCAAACUUCACUACGUCCAUACCAGCCAAAUAAAGAUCCGGUUCAAAUUUAAGCUUGUCAAGAAAGUAGAGCGUUACACCAAUUACCAGAAAGACUACCUUAGUAGCUUAAGGUCACUUUGGUGAUCUCUGUUGCUCUGAAGGGAAAAAGAAAGGCAUUCAGCAUGAUAAUAGUAUAUAUGUACAUUGCUUUGAGGGAAAAACAGAGAGAUAAUUGCAGACUAAUUUUACAACUGGGCUAACAAAUGCAUGGAAUGCAUAUAUGCAGAUAGGGACCCUGGACUAGAACAAAUACUCGCUGGUAUUGCCACCAGAGAAUGCGUAUACAUUAUACUUCAUCUACAAUUUGCAAAAACCAUAGGAGGUUUUGUUGUCUGGCAUGAUGAUUCUGUGUCAGAGACAAACUUAAUCAUGUGAUGACUCCAACAAGAGAUAAUGACACAAGCAUAAGCUGACUAAAACGACAAGAGUGAUUCAAAGCAGCCAACAAACCUAUAAAUCUUUCACCUUUUUAAAUUUUUCUCCUAGGGUAAGGAUGCAUUUUGUUUUUUCAGUAAAAAAUUGUGGCAGAUCAAUUCAACAACAACAACAUUUCUAUCACGAGUCGAUAUAUGCAUGCAGUAUGCAUUUGCAGACAUGCUUGCAUGUAUGCACAGCCAAGGACCUAAAAUUGCUAGAUGCUUGUGUUUUGAGAAUCUGUAAAUUUCACAUGUUUGAAUGAAGUGUAUGACAUCUGGCAUGAUGUUUCCUUGAUCUUGACAGUCUUGAUUCAGGUGAAAAUUAAGGAGGUAAAGAAACUCAAAUAUAAGAAACAACUGCAAAUGGAUAUUACAAGUGCUAAUGAAGUAUGCUAUUAUGUAAGCACUGGCCCGAUGUUUUCAAUCCCAAAGCUCACAAUAAUACAAAAGGCUAUUCUGCUCCCAGAAAUAAAAUACCUUGUGCAUAAGAAGAAAGAUUCCAUCAAUAUUGCACAGAGAUACAAAGCUUUCAGCUGAAAUGUCAACAAUACCAACAACUGGGGAUUAAAAUAUGCAUUUACCAGUAAGCCUCAUAUGUGCACUGCCUAUAAAGCUAAGGCAGGUGAAAGAUGGCAUAAACAUACAACAAAGGCAAAGUAUCAGAUAUGGCUGAUCCAUCAUG
rnacentral:lncRNA from 1 species